rnacentral:rRNA from 1 species
AGCCAUGCAUGUCUAAGUAUAAGUAUUAUACAGCGAAACUGCGAAUGGCUCAUUAAAACAGUUAUAGUUUAUUCGAUUAUUUUCUCCUACAUGGAUAACCGUAGUAAUUCUAGAGCUAAUACAUGCUGUCAAACCUGACUUUGUGGAAGGGUUGUAUUUAUUAGAUAUAAAACCAAUACUCUUCGGAGUUUUGUGAUGAUUCAUAAUAACUGAGCGGAUCGCGGCCUCGCCGCGACGAAUCGUUCAAGUUUCUGCCCUAUCAGCUUUCGAUGGUAGUGUAUUGGACUACCAUGGCGAUCACGGGUAACGGGGAAUUAGGGUUCGAUUCCGGAGAGGGAGCCUGAGAAAUGGCUACCACAUCUAAGGAAGGCAGCAGACGCGUAAAUUACCCAAUCCUAAUUCAGGGAGGUAGUGACAAGAAAUAACAACUCGGACCUCACACGAGGUUACGAGAUUGCAAUGAGAACAAUUUAAACCUCUUAUCGAGUAACAAUUGGAGGGCAAGUCUGGUGCCAGCAGCCGCGGUAAUUCCAGCUCCAAUAGCGUAUAUUAAAGUUGUUGCAGUUAAAAAGCUCGUAGUUGAAUAUCUGGCCGGCGCUGUACUGGCUCUCGUAGUCGGUUCAGUGCCUGGUUAUCCGUAUGGGAAACUAACUCGGCCUUCACUGGUCGGCUAGUGGAUCAUACACUUUACUUUGAAAAAAUUAGAGUGUUUCAGGCAGGCAAUUGCUUGGAUACUUUAGCAUGGAAUAAUGGAAUAGGACUUUGACCUAUUUGUUGGUUUCUCGAGGUCAAAGUAAUGAUUAAUAGGGAUGGUUGGGGGCAUUCGUAUUUAAUUGUCAGAGGUGAAAUUCUUGGAUUUUUUAAG